AAACAGAUAUGUAGCAUGUCAGGGGUACAGCCCUGUAAUACAGUCCAGGGCAUUGAAAAGCUAGUAAGUGAGUUAAAAAUGCCGAAAACUGAUCUUCAGGGAUUGGAUAAAGGGGAGUUGUCCACUGUAACCUUGAGUUGGGAGAAGAUGAAGGAUAAAAACUGGUUUCAAGAUACAGAUAUAUUUAGGUGUACUGCACAACAAUCAGAAGUGGAUUUUUUGGUUCAUUCGGUAAUUCAUCACAGUUCUAGACCUACGCUAGAAAAUGUUAUCUCCAUUCUACUUAUAAACCAAGAGCCUCUUGUCUCAAUGAUGUUCAAGAGAAAAGAUGACUGGCCUUUCCCUGAAUACUUGGGCUCUUGUGGAAGGUUGGCCAUAUUUGAAUAUAUCGGCCCGAGCAUUGCUGCACACUAUUCUUCCUCUUGGCCUCUGCGCGCGUACUUUGCUGUACAACUGCUUCAGCUGGCUAAACGGUUUUCUAAACCAGAUAAAACCGGUUUAGUGAUUUAUCCUACAGAUUGGACCGCUCACAACUUUGCCGUGGACGAGGAGAAUCGUGUAUAUUUAGUUGAUCUAGAGGGAAUAAUUUUAGUGAAUCAAUCAAUAAUUAGAGAAAAGAAGGCACCAGGCUGGGACACCUAUUAUACUGCGGAUAGGUUUGGUUGUACAAAUUGUUUUAGUUUCUCUACAGCAGAUCUUUGUACGCAUGCAGAAUCAGAUCACAACUACCAUGGUGUUUGUGGAGGUCUUCUAGCACCUCAACCUUACUCUCCAGGACUAGCAGGAGGACUUCUUCAUUCAGUUCCUAGAAAUAUACUAGCUAGGCAUCCUCUGCUACCGAGGUUACUGGAUGAAUGCUGGAAAUCCUCUAAACCUGGAGGACGGGAAGAGGCCGCUGAUCUUAUUAUUGAGAUCCUUCGCUCUGAACUGGUUGAUCUUGAUCUUCAAAACCUAACAUGAGACGUUUAGAUCUUGAUAUUUUUUUGUCUUUGAUUUGAUCUUCAUUAUCUUACACUUAAUGCUUUGAUCAUGAUCUUCAACGCCUCACUUAAGUCUUGAUAGAUUCAAUAUUUUAUAUAUGACGCUUUUAUUUUUAAAGUUUGGAUUUUUACUCAUGCGGGAAAAACUAGGUGUCAAAAUGCCAGGCAAAAAAUUAUUAUUUAUGUUAAUGUUUUAUGUUAUUUAUUCUGAAUGUGAUAUCUUUACAAACUUGCUCACUUAAAGGGACUGUAAGCGUAAUUUCAAGUUACCCUUCAUGCAAAGAUGGCAAUGCUCGACUGACUCACAGCGCU
rnacentral:misc_RNA from 1 species